AGCACGAUACAGAGAUGAUUAGCAUGGCCCCUGCUCAAGGAUGACGUUCCAUAUUUUUGAGAAGUGCUGAUGCAUA
rnacentral:snRNA from 1 species